UGUUCUCUUUUCUGAAUGGUGGUGAACUACGUUACGUUCAUGAUUCAUCAGCCUCGUUACGUAAAUAAUCCUACGUCAUCGUUUGUGCAUCAUCUAUCAUUCAUCAGCCUCCUUAAAAGGCUUACUUGUCAAAAUUUUAAAUGACUUUUGAGUGGAAUUAUUGUUAAAAAAGAAGUCAUGAUUUUUUAAAUUGUGGUCUCAAUUAGGACCAGAGCUUUAUCCCAG